CUCGACACUGCUCAAUAAUAAUUAUAAGGCUGCACACAUUUAUAUCCUCACAUAAAUACAGUACAUGUACUGAAACUGUAACAUGCUCAAAAAUAACUGUCAGUCCAACACAUACAAUUCAAGGACUGCUUUCAUUAUAACAUAAUUACGGCAAUAGAACUUGCAAUAAACAUAACAAGUCUACUAAUACAAGCAAUUCCUGGACACUCUUUUGAUCUGUUAACAACUACUAGCAGUAACUUAGCUGGAUUUAUGUGUGGUUGUUCGAAUGGUAAUGUUCGAUUCAGAGACCAACCACUUGAAAUGGAUGACUCAGUAAAAGGAGUAGUGCAGUUUUGUGGCAAUGGAGAGUGGAAAACUUUGUGUGCCAGUAGUAAUUGGUUAACAACAUUUUCAUCCAAUGCUGCUCCAUAUGUGGUUUGUCGACAACUAGGCUAUUCUGAAAGAGGAGCUACAAGGGGAUUCAAUCUGUUCAUCUCUACCAACAUCACCUCAUUUCAGAUAUGAACACUCUAAUAUUGAUUGCAAUCCUCCUUGUUGCUUCGAAAGCUGUUCAAGGCUGCAUCAAUGGAAACGUACAGAGACUAGAUGAUGGUAGAGUCAAUGUUUGCUUUGGUCAAGAAUGGAAAACUGCAUGUGUGUGAGAAAGGCUACCAAUGGUGUGCUUAUCAAGCUAACAUUGCAUGCAGACUGCUGGGCUACAAUAAUAAUGGGGCAAGUGUGGAACGAUCAUGCUUUGUCUCAACCGGUUUGAAUUACAUUGAUGUUAGUAAGUGUAGUGGAACAGAGAAUACUUUUGAAGAAUGUGGAAUCAACCAAAGAGAUUUUGGUGAUUGUAGAGAUGGUGGCUGCAGUGGUACCGAGAAAAGUCAUCCUGAAAUAAUGUGUCUAUUAGCCGACUGCACUAAUGAAACCAUAAGACUGGUGGGUGGGUCCAACAUAAGAGAGGGACGAGUGGAGGUGUGUGUGGGCGGUCGCUGGGGAACUGUUCAAAACAAUAAUUCCCAACUGGUAGAAUUUGUUUGCUCUACACUGGGUUUCCCAACUGAGGGUUCAGAAGCAGUCACUACUUUUGGCCAUAGAACAGCUCUGACAAGAAGCUGUGUAAUAAUAAAUAGUGCCCUCCACUGCGUAGACAUUACAGACCAGUCUGUUGAUUCCAUGGAUCUUGGUGUUGUGUGCAAGACAUACCAAGAUGUUAUUGGUUCAGUUAUUAAUAGGACAAUCGAUCAAACCCUUCAGACGUGUCCUGAACCAACUACCACCAGCGUAACAGCCAGCCAACAGCCAGCCAAUCAUGACCGGUGGAACAAAUCACCCAACCACUAACAGCCAGCCAGCCACCACCAGUGAAGUAGACCAAUCCACAUUAGCUAAAGAAAUGGGCGGAAGUUGUCCUGUUGCAGCCUUAGGAGGAUUGAUUGGUCUUCUGGUUGGUCGUGCUCCUAGGACUUGCUAUUGGAUUGACUGUAACUUGUUGUGUGUUGUGGAAACGCAGGUCACAGAAACAGCAAGCUGAGUGAGUUCACUGAGGGUGCAACAUUUCUCAAAGGCAAGAGCUCUCAACAAUUCAACGACAACUAAACAACCCAGUAUACGAUACAAGCAUGAAACCACACAAUGCAUACAGCUCCAGUGGACCUACCUACGAACAAGUUGCCAAUGGCAAUAAACAAGACCACACCUACUCAAUACUUGAGCGCGAUAAGAACACGAAUUGUCGCUCAAAUCAGCUCAAUGCUAUAGACGAGGAGCAGAACUACCAUGUGGUGGAGAGUGGAAGGUGCGAGGGUGUGGAGGGGGCGGGCUGUGACAGUGUGUACAGUGAAGCUAGUAACUACGAAGUGCCAAUGUCAAGCAAAACGGACAGCAAGGUGUGGCUGUGUGAAGAGGAUUACUCCACACUCAAGCAUUGAGAAAACUGUAUAUUGUGUAUUAUAUUUUAUACUGCAUCAUGUGACUCAAAACUUCGGUCUUAUAGAGACCUUGCAAUUCUUGUGCAUUUUCAUUUAUAAUUUUAGUAAUCAGUUAGAUUCUCUUGAUCACGUGUCUCAGUGAUUUAAGGUAGCUACUAAUGUGAGCUGCUUGUUGUUGGAGUGAUCGAUGUACUGU